UUAAUUUUGGUUCGGAUUGAACGUUUUUCAGUAGUUUAAGACAUGCGAAUCGUUGUUUCUUAAGAAACAAGGUGUAGAGGUGAGUAUGUUAAAUAAGAUACCCCGUAGUCUUCAGAAAUAGGAGAUAUAAAUAAAGGAAGUUUUCUGCUACGGGAUUCUAUUUAAUUUGAUUAGGUAGUUGAUAGGGUAACGGCCUACCAAGCCAACAAUCGAAAGUCAAGUUUGAAAGAACCUCUGGCCACAUUGGGAAUGAGAUCUCCCAAGUAGUAAUUACACUACCAGCAGUCAAGAAUAUUAGUCAAUGCUCGCAAGAGUGAACUAGCUAACUGAAAUCAUAGAAUUUCUUCAAAUUCAUGAUGUCGUAAGGGAAAAUAAUGAUAAUACCUUACUAUGAGUGUCGUCCAAAUCUGGUGCCAGAAGACUCGGUAAGACCAGAGACGCAAACGUUAAUCAUCAUAAACAGGCGUAAAGGGUUUGUAGGCAGCUCUCACAAAGACAUAUACAAAAUAAAGUGUUUUAAUUGAGAGCUAGAAUCAAAAAGAGGUUAUAGUGUAUAACGCCUAGAGGAGGGCUGAUAUCCAUAGAUCCUAGGCAGAAUACUCAGGGCGAAGGCCACUCUCCACUACUGAUUGACGCUGAGAAACGAAAGUUAGGGUAGGAAAUAUGAUUAGAUACCCAGGUACUCCUUUCUGUAAACGAUGAAUGGUAGUCAUUAGUAAUAAAACUAGAGGCGAAGUUAACACAAUAACCAUUCCGCCUUGUGAGUACUACUGCAAAGUAGAAAACAAAAAAAUUAGUCGGUCUCGAAGCAAACGGAGUGAAGCAUGUUAUUUAAUACGAUAAUCCGCGUAGAAUCUUACCAGAACUUGCAUACAAACUAUUUCUUUGUAAAAAGAAGGAAUAGGAGUAUUUAAUUAUAAUAAGUUAAGUACUUAAGUACAGGUGUUGCAUGGCUGUCUUCAGUUCGUGUUGUUAAACAUUAGGUUAAUUCCACUAACGAACGAAAUCCCUGUUAUUAAUUUAUACUUAAUAACUAAUGAAUCUGAUAGAGAUUCAGCGGGGGCUAAGACAAGUCGUUAUGGCCCUCAUGUUCUGGGCUAUAGACGUGCCACUACGACUUUUACAAAGUGAUGCAAUACUUCCCUUUUCUCUAGUAGAAUAUAAGGGAUAUAAGUGGAGCUAAUCAUUAAAAAAAGUCAUAAUAUUAAAUUAAGCCGGAUUGUCUCCUGAAAUUCGGAGGCAUGAAGAAGGAAUUCCGAGUAAUCGUUGAUAAGUAGCGCAACGGUGAAGCAUAUUUCGUGAUGAACUAACUGUCUGUCGCUGGGAAGAAGCCUUCAAUGGAGGAAACUGGAGGUAGAUACUGUUUUUUCUUAAUUUUAAUUAAGAGUUAUUUAUUCUUUAAUAAUUAAGUUAAACUUAUUGGCUUUAGUUAAUCCAUUUGGGUAACAUCUCAAAAGUCAUAGCA
rnacentral:rRNA from 1 species